rnacentral:sRNA from 1 species
UUCUACAGGAACUCGGCAUCAAGCAC